UGUAAUCCCACUGCCACAUUGAACUCGU
rnacentral:sRNA from 1 species